rnacentral:lncRNA from 10 species
UCAAUGCAUGUCUCUCACACUAAAUAGUAAGCUCUUUGCAGGCAGAGAUUCUUAUUUUGUUCAAAUCUAUAUCCCAUGAGCUUAGUACAUACUAGGUGCUUAUUAAAUGCUGUUUUUGUUGAAUGAAUGAACACAUGAAUGAAUGAAGCCCAAAGACACAGCCAUAGGGCUGUGCAAAUUUUUUUUGCAAGAACACUGAUUACAGGUUUUCUUUCCUCUUAAGCUUUAACAAACUUACAUUUAAGACAUAUGACAAGCAAAUUAAACUGUCGAUCUGCCAAUCUACCCAUCAUCCAUCCAUCCAGCCACCCUCCAACAGAUAGAGUGACUCAGGGUAGAGUAAUGGGUUAUGGGCAUCCAUCCUACAGGUAGCACAAGGAGGAAAAAACACCUACACCAAAAUGCCAUAACUUUGCCAGAGGCUGGACUUUCUAGACCCCACGUCCUUUCAAGGAGAACUCAGUGGAAGCUCUUCAAAAUACCAUCUAUUACACCAUUAAGCAAGGCAGUUAAUUUUGAUCUUAGCCAAGUCUGCCCAGCCAGUUAGAUAAACAAAAUUCUUUCAACUGGGGAGAUCUUGUCAAAGGACAAACAAACUAAUUUUAGCAUUCAUUUCCCUGCUGGAUUUUUAUUGCUGGUGAAACAACACACACGGUUGGGUAAUUACACACACACAGGCAUGUAGACAAGGCCCACAUGUACAGAACCCUGGCUUCCUGCUAAGGCCAGACUGUGGGGCCUGGUGAGCAUUCCAGACACAGAAUGCUGAGAAACGUUGCAGCCCCAGCCCAGCUACACCCGGGUGCAACGUGGAUGUAUCAGAAAACGACAACCCCAGAAAAGCGGGAAAGCCUCUGAGAAAUGGGACUGAAAUGGAACUGAACAUGUGAGCUGGGCUUGCUGUUGGGAAUUCUGACUUUGUUUUGGCAGAGGGGAGGGGAAAGGCAAAGCUAAAUCAGGAUCUUCUGCCUUCUCAAACUGUAGGAAGAAAUGAAAGUCAGGGAGGUGAAUGCAACUAGUCUGACAAUGAUCUAGUUUCAAGACUGCAAGUCUAUUUCACUUAUCGUGCGCAUGUAGAGGGAGGGCAGGCAGAGUGAUAAGGAAAAUGGGGAACUUACCUCUUCUUUUAGAGAUAUGUAAACACAUGUUCAACUGUUUUUUAAACAACAAUAUUCUUUGAAAUAAAUUCUGUUGUAUGUCUCUCCUUGGGAGACGGCACAGCACCAGAGACAGAGCUGUGGUUAGAGCCAGCCUCACACUCAAGAAAUUAAUUUAAAAUGUUUCUAAAUUAUUAUCCACCAAUUACAAUGAUUUACAAACAGCUCUGUAUAUAUUUUUAAAUAACUCCUGUAUUAUACAGUCAAUGAAAAAUAUACAAAUUUGGGUUUGCUGGACCAAAAUUUGUAUAGGAAUUGGCUAUUGUAUACAUCAAUAUAGACUGCCUUAACAAAGUGAAGGCCUUAAGAAAGCAUAAUUUACAGAUGAAGCAGCCACGGGUGUGUUUAUCUGAAACACUGGCUUUUGCCCAGAAGUGUUAAAAAAGCUUGUGUUUCUGAAGGUUCAGGGAGCCAGAGGACUGAUGGCCUCAUCCUCCACUUGAGGAGCUUUUAUAAGAGGCUCACACUGGGUGAAGAAGAAAUGACUUGUCUGAGGUCACAAGCAAAGGAACCAGCUGAUCCAAGAACUCAAUCUCAGAACACCCAUGCCACACUUUCCUUCUCCUUGGAGAGAUAAAUAAUUAGUGCUGGAGCCUAAUGAGGUGCUGGUAACAUCCUAAUGUCUUCUGAGUGGACUCUUGCCUCAGUUGCUAAGCUACUGAACCAUCUCCCCAUUACCCUCCCGAGUUCUGCCAUGAUAGGUGGGUGGAGGCGGCUCUCCGCAUCCACCUUCUUAAGCUUCCCCAGAGACCCCUGGAUGGAAAGAGUCAGAGCCUCUGCUAAAGGGACAAGGUGUCUGUGGGGUGUUUUUCUUGCUUCCCUGGGGUGGCCCAUGAGCAUCAGGGUUAAGGAACAUGACUGUUGUUAGACCCAAGUUGUUCAAAUGCCUUCUCUGCCCCUUGCUGGCUGAAGGACCUAGUAUACAUCAUUGUUAGUAAGCACUAAUGGUACUAAAUGCUCACUGGGUACUGUGUUAAGUGCUUCACAUAAAUCAUGGCAUUCAACCUUCAAAAUAAUCUUAUCAAGUGUUAUUGUCAUCUCUAUUGUUCAGAUGAGGAAAACAGAGCUGUGGUUAAGAUCCCAGCGCAGGCAGGUGAGUUCAAAUCCCAACUGUCGCAUUUCAGCGCAAUUUCUUCUAGUUUAAGUUCCCUCAUAGGAUUGUGGCAGGUUAAAUGAGACAGUGCAUAUGUUUAGAAAGCCCAGUGCCUGGCAUAUAGGGAGCACUUCCUAAUCAUUAGCUGCUUACAGGAGUGGCAAGACCUAGUUCCUGCUCUGGUGAAGCUCAAAACCUACUAGGGACUAAGACAUGCAAAUAGCUCUACUGCUACAUAAAAGUGGUAUAACAGAUGAAUGCAUGACUGGCUUUGAGAACACACGGGAGAAAGCGUCGCAGAGGAGUGCUGUUUAAGUUGGCCCUAAAGGGUGCGGAGGAGUUUGCCAGCCAAAAGAGGAUCCAUCUAGACACAUGGAUAACCUAUGCAAAAGCAGAGAGAAAUGGCAGAGGGGAAGAUUUUUCAGAACACACCAUUUCCUAGUCCUGUCUGAGUCAUCCCAGACCUCUGGGAGCUGGCCAGACUUGAAGGGUAGUCCUCACCAUCCCUCCAGUCAAGACAGACCUGUGAAGGCAACAUGCCUUUUACAAAAGGAACUUUCUCUACAGAAUAGGUUGGUAACUGACACUAGCUAUGAAAAAGCUGUGGAAUCUAACAGGACCUGCUAGAACAAAUACUCCAGACUUCAAGUCUAACAUUUAGUAAACAGAUUUCUUCCCUUUCUUUAAAUGUAAUGAUGCAACAAUGUGGAACCAAGUGAAACUGGCUUUGUGAGUCACCUUCAGAAGCGGCGAAAGGUGGCUUCUCAUUUCCAAAGUUCACAGUUCAACAUGGCCUGCAUAAGUAAUACAAACUGACUGCCACUAAUCUCACCAGAAAUCACCUCUGUCAAGAACUGUGUGAGGAGAGAGGGGACAGAGAAGGAAAGAAAUACGUACCGACUUGCUCUAGUCGAGUGCAUUUCUAAUAGAGCAUGACAUAAAAAAAAAAAAAAAAAAAAAACCUCUCAGAUGCAAGAAAUGAAAGAACAAACAGAAAACAAAUCAAUCCUACAUAAUUACUUUUCUUCGAAGACACGUCAGCCUGUCUCUAUUUUUUGGACACACUUUUGGUUGAAACGUGGACACAGAAACAUGGAAUAAUUACAAAUGUGUGUGUAAUAUUCCUUGCCAAUAACAAUAUAAAUAUCUGGACGUAUAUAUCAACACAUACUUUGUUGCAUUAGAUUGAAAAAACUAAUGGGGGCUGACGAAAAGCCCUUGUUGUUGAGCAAUGUCAUCAACAUCCAGAUCCCCAAACAUCAUAUGCUUUCACAGGCCCCUCUACUCAGUUAUAAUACAGUGUGACAUUCAUUCUCUGAGUUUAUUAGGAUGCAAAUCGAGUUUCUGGACAGACCUGGAAAAGAAUCCCUUUAGUUUAGGGCCUCUGAGAAGACAGAUGAAUCAACUUCACUCCGGGUCGUAGGAGGAUGCACCGGCCAGCGAGUCUAACAAAGCUGCCUGCAUCCUUUUGAAAAAAAAACUGACCUUGCUGGGUGUGGUGGCUCACGCCUGUAGUCCCAGCACUUUGGGAGGCUGAGGUGGGUGGAUCACCAGAGGUCAGGAGCUUGAGACCUGCCUGGCUAACAUAGUGAAACCCCGUUUCUACUAAAAAAAACCAAAAAAAACAAAAAAAAACAAAAUGAGCUGGGCGUGGUGGCAGGCGCCUGUAAUCCCAGCUACUCGGGAGACUGAAGCAGGAGAAUUGCUUGAACCCGGGAGGCAGAGGUUGCAGUGAGCCGAGACUGUGCCAUUGCACUCCAGCCUGGGCAACCGGAGUGAAACCCUGUCUCAAAAAAAAAAAAAAAAAAAAAAAGAAAAAAGUUGACCUCUCUGAAAAGAAAAGCAGUGGCCACAUUGGCUCAAGGAAGAAGAGAAUGCUCUGAAAUGCAAAAAUAUGACUGGAAAAAAAAAGGGCUUAAUUUCUCAGUGCGAAUUAUAAAACUGCAGCACUAAAAUUUAGUGAAUACUUAAAAUUUUGCUAAGGAAACACAUGGAAACCACUUUGUCCUCAAUGAGUUUUUAGGCAUAAAUGUUCAGGCAAACGUGGCAUAUUUAUCAAAACCUUUGUCCCCCACGACAAGUUCAGAGACAUGUUGCAGUGACUCUAAUAUCCUACUCACAGCAUAUUCUUACAUAUUUUAGAAUCAAAUAAAGGUGAAAUUCAAGCGAAGAACACAGUAUUGCCUCUUCCUGAUUAUGGGUCACCCCAAACUGACACAAGAUGAAACAAAACCAACAACAACCUUUGGAGAGAAAGCCCAAGGUGACAAUGCCUUUCUCAGUUGGGGUUCCCUGUGGUAACAGGACUUUAACCAUAAAUAAGACAGACUGCACAAUCCACACAGUUAAGAAACAAGAGGAUGUGAGGUGGAAGAGGGGUAAGAAAUGUAAUCUUUCAUUUUUAUGACUUAGUGGGCAAUUCUUCGGACAGACCCACACAUCUUUGGCCUUCAUGCCUUUGGGGGAAUGCUUCCAACAACCGCUGACAGAGGCCAGUGGGAAAUGUGACUUAGAGAAUCCAACCAGUUUCCUACCUUUCUGCUUGAUGCAAAAUUGGGGCACCCUUUAUGCGAUUUCCUACUGUCCUCCAGGACUGUCAGCUCUUCAGGAUGUCACCAAGUUGAUAGCGACUUGUUCUUUUUAGGAGGAUUUGGGAGUUCAAUGUACAUCGUGAGUAAAAUCUUCCCUUAUGUCACUCAAGCCUGGAACAGUCUCCUGUGGCCACAACACACACCACCUUGGUUCAGAGCAUAGGAUGACGUGACCAUGGCAUAUAGACUGCACUGCUGCAAAGUUUCUUCAAUGGCCACGAGCCAUCCCCCAGGAGAACACACAGUUGAAGGGGCACCAGCCCCUGCUUCUCUGCUGCAAAGUGAGCCAGAUAACCAGGAAAACCCAGAUAAAUCCUCUGGUCAAGGUACAGCAGGAAGUCAAGGCUGCUGCAGAAGUGAACUCACUCAGGAGUUCUGGAGCUGACUCUGGCUAGUCCCAGUCAACAGAGCACACCUCACUGGGGAGUACUGCAAAGAUGUUGCUAAGCUAAUCAAACAAGGGCUCAGAUCUAGCAGGCCAUGGGGACAGAGGCAGCAGCAGGAAAAGGUGGGCCUGAGUUAAAGAGGAGUCAAAAGGUCCCAGGGGCCCCCUGCCAGCCUCGCCAGGGAAAACUGGUGUCACAGACUUUUGCCAUUUCUACUUCCUAAAGCCAGUGCUGAGGACUGCUUGAAAGAGAGAGAGACAGAAGAGAUAGCGUGGGAGUCGCUGUCUGCAGCUCAACUCAACACACGCCUCUCCAUCUACCUGCUGCUUGAAAUACGGGCCAUGGAGCAGUAGUUUCAACAUCACCUGGAAGCUGUCUUAAAAAGCAAUAUCCGAGACCUUCUAAAUCAGACUCAACAUUUCCAUAAACCCCCCAGGUGAUUUGUGUGCACACUAAAGAAAAAGAAGCACUGGACCCGGGCAGUGGUCUCUGUAGAGGGGAGCACAGAUGAUCCAGGAGUGAAAACGCAAGUGCUUCUACGUAUAUUUAUUUCUCAUCAAGAUCUUUCUGAUUCCUAUGUUUUUGCACGCUAUAGAGUAUAUGCAAUAUUUCAAUAGCAUGGCACAUAUAUAUUUUAAAAACAACUACAACCAAAUCCAGUUUACAGACCAUUAUCGAAAUCAGAAAUUCCUAAACUUUCUUAUUAACCUCUUUGGAGAAACGAGUGAAAGCUAGGGACCUCAUCUCACAUAUGUGCAAAAUUCACAUCCAGCAUGAGUUGGCUCACAGACCUCGAGGCCCCACCUUAGCAGUGACUUUGCUAAAACAGGGCAGAAGUAGAUCCUGGCUGAGCAGAUGCUUCAACACACUCUACAAUGAUUUCUACAUUGCAAGACUUGUCUGUUUGCUAUAAACCAAUUCCGCAGUGGCUCAUGGCAUUGCUACAAUUCACGUUACCCUGAGUUUUAGCACACAGGCUCAAUCUCACCACUGCUUGGGUCUUGCUUUCACCAAACUCCUAGCAGAGAGAUUGAUCACGUGGAGAAUUUCUGUGUGGUGGUGAAACAGGCUACCAAGGUUUGUGUGUCUUUUGCAAAAUGCAAUGUGACUUUCCACAAGUUUAAUAAAAUUCCAUCUAAUACUAAUUUCCAGAGCAUUUUGGUUGAAAAAGAUCUAUACGUAUAUAAAGUCCAGGAGCAUUUUAAUUUGAAAGGCCUAUAAUAGCCCUAAUAAAAUACAUACUCCGAUGCACAAAGAGCCAAGGAUUAUAACAAUAGUGUACUUAUCACCCUUAAACCAAUAGAGAUAUGUAAAAUUUUAAUUAUAAUCCAUGGCUACGCUUGUUUGAAAUGGACGCAGGCAGGGCACACUUCUGAAGAAAGGCUGCACACGUUCGAAAAUUGACAGUUCCUGUGUCUGAAACUGGUCUUGCCUGAAUUGUCUUUACUGUGGUUCAACUGUCAGUGUGGAAUUGCAGCAAAUAUUUCUAGCAUUAGCAGGAAGCUUUUUGUCCACCUUCUGAAAGAUGAAACACAUCCUAACACACAAGAGACAGUUCUCUAGACAAAGCCCCUUUAAGCUCUUUCUUAGAAUGAAACAGAUGGUGAAAGGAGAUGGACUGAUAUCCAGGAAUUCUCAAACCUCAGAAUACAGGCAGAUCCUCUGGAGAGCCUGACCAAAAUGCUUAUUCCAAGGCCUCAGCUUCAUACACGCAAGAUGUAUUUAGUGAGGCCCAAAUCUUGCAUAUUUUUAAAAAACAGACUUUACUUUUUAAGAGAUUAUUUCUCUAACACUGUACAGAAAUUACAGAGUUCCUUUAUAUCCCCUCUUCCCCCCAACACUUUGCUCUAUUAUUAUGUACACUUUUUUCUUAGAAACAGGGUCUUGCUUUGUCACCCAAGGUAGACUGUACACUGCUGUCCUAAACUCCUGGGCUCAAGGGAUCCUCCCGUCUCAGCCUCCUGAGCAGCUGGGACUACAGGCGCAUGCCACCAUGCCCUAAUUUUUAAAUUUUUUGUAGAGAUGGAGUCUUGCCACAUUGCUCAGGAUAGUCUUGAACUAGGCUCAAGCCAUCUUCCCACAUCAGCCUCCAAAGUGUUGGGAUUACAGGCGUGAGCCACUGCUCCUGGGCUAUUAUUAAUAUUUUGUAUUAGUGUGGUUCAUUGUUGCAACUGAUGAACCAAUAUUAAUACAUUAUUAUUAACUAAAGUCACAUUAGGGUUCACUCUGUGUCUUACAGCUCUACUGAUUUUGAUACAGAAUGUCACCUACCCACCAUUACAGUAUCACAGAAUAUAAUUCCACCACCUUAAAAAUGCCCCAUGCUCCACCUAUUCAUCCUUUCCCCCAAGUCUGCAUUUUUAACAGACAUGCAAGUAAUUCUCUUGCAGGUAGUCAGGCCAAAACUGUGAGAAAUGUUGCCUUAAAUCAUGAGACCUGGGCGGAAGAACUGUGUGCUAGAUUGGAUUCAGUUUCCCUAAGAAUUAGUUGACUAUAAUGUGGCUACACUGUAACAGUAAUUUAAACUUCAGAUCCUCUUAGUAACUACUCUUGGCCCCCUCUGUGUUAGGGGACAAUAUCCACAUUAACCUAGGUUGAAGCUGAUCCCCAAUGUUUCCUCCAUCUCAAAUCAAGGCUUGAUAAAAGUUGUUACUACUUUAAGUUUCUUCUAAAAUAUCAAGUGACUCAUGGUCUCAUAGUUAAAUGCCUACCGGCCUCAGGACAGUCCGACUGUUGGAAACUCAGAUGGCUGGCAAGUGGCAAGAGGGAGCAGUAUUAGGCAUGCUGAAUUCAAAGCAUUAUGGACAACACACAGGUAGCUCAGUGUGGCAUCAUAAUCAGAUGCUCUUCCUCUGGAAAAGCCUUCUACGUUGUCAACAGAAUAUGACAGAAGUGGAUCCUGGCUGAGUAGAUCCUUCAACGUAUUCUGCAAUGGUUUCUACAUUGCAAGACUUGUCUGUUUGCUAUAAACCAAUUCCGCAGUGGCUCAUGGCAAUGCUACAAUUCACAUGUUACCCUGAAUUUUAGCACACACGCUUAAUCUCACCACUGCUUGGGUCUUGGCUUUCACCAAUCUCCUAGCAGAGAGAUUGAUCAAGUAGAGAAUUUCUGUGUGGUGGUAAAACAUACUACCAAGCUUCAUGCGUCUUUUGGAAAAUGCAUUCUCCCGAACACUUCUGAUGCACUGAAACACACCUGCCAAUCAUCAUCUGUGGGCUGGUAAGUCUUAUCAUUCCUGCGAUUUCUGCUACGGCUCCCCAAGCCUCAGAGUGCUCUGAGACACAGGCUCACUUUUCACAUUAAGUCAGCAGAAUUUUUGUUGGCUUUGAGGAUUGUAUGUUCCCUUUGGAAGAUGACUAGAGCCUGUAGGGGUGGGAAUCUGACAUCUAGUGUCUGUUUCCCUUCUGGGUUCAUGUAGACCCCCCCAGGUAACAACAAAAGUCUUUACCAAACUGGGGAGAAAUCAGCUGGCACUUUGGCUUAGGUUCAUGCAAGUUUCACCUUGUCUUUUCUAGACUGCAGCUGAAAGAAUGCCACGGUGUACUGAGAAUAGACAGAAUGAGAAGGCGACUAAUUUGUAAUUGUGAGACAAUCCCUGCUGUAGACAAAGGCAAAAAGCAGACCUUGGGAACAUCAUUCAACCUCAGCGAACAACUAGAUUUCUGGAAGCACUGUAGGGAGGCUGCAGGAAGGGCUCACAUAGAGUCACAUGUAGGACUUUGCCCAGAGGAGGCCUAUGUUUAAGGUGGUGGCAUUUGUGCAACAAACAUUUAUGUAGUACCUACUGAGAGGCAGGCACUAGCCUGGGUGUUGGGGACAUAAAAAUCAGACUCAGUCCUUGAGCUUGAGGGGCUUAGUGUCAGCUUGGGGCAAGCAGAUGUGUAAAUAUUUGCAUGGGGUUCAGUAAAGGCCAAAGCACAGAGAGGCCAGAAAAGGCUCCUUAGAGAAAGAAAGCCUCCCAUAGCAUCUUGAAGGUGUCUGCCAGGCAAUAUUGGCUUGGGGGAGGGAGAUCAGGUAGUUCACACAGACACGCAUGUACAAACACAAAGGACCCAACAUGUAAAGUGAACUCGGUGUAUGGUUUUCUAUGCUAAGUUUCUACCAGGUGAUAUUUUCAUCAAGACAGUGAUUAUUCUGGGCACUUAUUCUAAAUGGGAUUCAAAAAAUAAACCACCAAUACCAAGGAAACAGAUAUAUAGACCUUUGGCCUUCAAGGGUAGAGGAUUAAGCAAAACUAGGUGACUAUCGGAUGCUCAAAUUAGCAGCCAUUGAAUCCACAAGAACAGCAGACAUGACAGCUGACAACAUGAAAUGCUGGCCCUGGUCACUCGUCCAGAUGUCACCUUCAGAAACUGUACACAGGCAGCUGAGAACACUGGUUGUCUGUAGGAAUGAUCCUAUCUCCAGGGAGGGAGCAGGAAUUUGAAAAGUAUGUUCAAGGCCCAAUGUUUUUGAUAAUGCAUUCUGUAGCUAAAGUUUGACAAAAUUUGAGUUGUUGUGGAGCUAUUAAAGAUACAGUGAUUCUGAAAAGCCACAUCUAAUUUUACCCUCCAGCUCUGCACCUCCUCACCCCCAAGUCAGGGUGUGAGAUCUUUCAGGAUGGGGCAUGACAUCUAAAAAGAAAAAAGUUUGGGCCAGGCACAGUGGCUUAUGCCUGUAAUCCCAGCACUUUGGGAGGCCAACGUGGGUGGAUCACCUGAGGUCAGGAGUUCAAAACCAGCCUAGCCAACAUGGUGAAACCCCGUCUCUACUAAAAAUACAAAAAUUAGCUGGACAUAGUGGCACGUGCCUGUAAUCCCAGCUACUUGGGAAGCUGAGGCAGGAGAAUUGCUUGAACCCAGUAGACGGAGGUUGCAUGAGCCAAGAUCGUGCCACUGCACUCCAGCCUGGGUGACAGAGCAAGACUGUCUCAAAACAGAAAAAAGUUUGAAAAACAUUGAGUUAAAAUAUGUGAGGAUGGAAAUCAGUCAUUGUCUUCCUGGAGAGUUCAGAUUUUGAACUAAUUAAGGUACCAGAUUUCCAUAUUAACAGGAACUAUCCAAAAGUGUGUUGUACAUCCACAAAAGUUGCAUAUGAUACAUUCACAUGGGGGGAAACAAGGCUGUGUGGCUGGGGUGUUACCGGGGGGCCCACCCAUGCCCUGAGCCAGGAAAGGGAAAUCUCACAGCUCUCUCUUUGGGGUGUAAAAAGGCUUUUUUAUACCCUGCAAAAUAGGUCCCAAACCCAUCUCUCCAUCCCCUUGCCCCCUAAAAAGAAAACAGGCCAUGGUAGAAAGUCUUAAGAUAAAAUCCCACAGUGAAAAGGCACCCUAUGCAAACCACAGGCCACAAGAAAAGAACAAUCACUCUAACCUCUUCAGCUUGGCACAUACCACAUAACCCCCGUCCCUCGCAUAGUGAGCAAUGGAAAAAUGCCCUUUUCUACUAAGGUUGGCAAAAGUGUGUCCUACUCAAAAACGUGCCUGUGGGGCCAGACAUGACACAAACUCCCCAAAACCAGAUGAUGUGCUCUCAAUGACUAAAACACUUGUGCUUAUCUUCACCUGGGCAUGCAGUGUUCCCACACCAUGAUGGUCUGCCUCAUCUAGCAUAUUAAUGUCGAAAUACAGGAUGUCUUUUAGAUCAUCUCCCCCACCUCCCACUUGAGGACACCACACUGAGAAGGUGUGAACUCUAAAACCUCAUUUUAAGUGCAACAGAGCAUUGAGAAAAACAUUCAUGAUAGGCAGUUUCAUGGAACUACAGAACAUUAGAUCUGGGGGGAUUUCAAAGAUUACUUGGUUUAAUGAUUUUUCAGAUGCAAAAUGAAGACUCAGAGAAUUGGAGUGAUUUGUCCAAGAAAAUACAAGUAGAAAGUAGUCACUAAGGUUUUUUUCAUUUAAAUGUAUUUGUGUGUUCAAUAAAUCCUUUUUCUGUCUUUUAUGAUAAAAUUGAAGCCUGGCUCCCUUAUUUCACAUUUAUUAUAACUGUUGGCUUGUCUUUCUUCUUGUGCUCCAGCCUUCACCCAACAAGUUCAAUAAAGGUAGCUCUGUUAUUAUUAUUUCAGAACCAAUACUUUUGCUUCAAAAUCCCCAGUCCCUAUAACUGUGCCUUCAACUCUCGAGAUAGGUACCUACCAAGUGUUUCUUGGUAUACUGAAGAAAGAAUAAAUAACAAUCAACAAUUAAAUUGUUGGACUGGGUGCAGUGCCUGUAAUCUCAGCACUUUGGGAGGCUGAGGCAAAUGGAUCCCUUGAGGCCAGGAGUUCAAGACCAGCCUGGCCAACAUGGUGAAACCCCAUAUCUACUACAAAUACAAAAAUUAGCCAGGCAUGGUGGCGCAUGCCUGUAAUCCCAGCUAUUUGGGAGCGUGAGACAGGAGAACCACUUGAACCCAGGAGGUGGAGGUUGCAGUGAGCUGAGAUCAUGCCACUGCACUCCACCCUGGGCAACAGAGCAAGACUCUGUCUCAAUAAAAACAAAAAACUGCUUUCACUGUAGUCCUCCCUUGUCUGUGGUUUCACCUUCCAUGGUUUUAGUCAUCCACAGUCAACUGUGGUCUCACAUUGGGUGAGUAUGGUACAAUAAGAUAUUUUGAGAGAGAGAGAGACCACAUUCACAUAACUUUUAUUAGAGCAUAUUGUAACAAUAGUUAUAUUUUAUUGUUAGUUACUGUUGUUAAUUUCUUUUUUCUUUUUUUCUUUUUUUUUUUGAGACAGAGUCUUGCUCUGUCACCAAGGCUGGAGUGCAGUGGUGCUAUCUCGGCUCACUGCAAGCUCCGCCUCCCGGGUUCACGCCAUUCUCCUGCCUCAGCCUCCUGAGUAGCUGGGACUACAGGCACCUGCCACCACGCCUGGCUAAUUUUGUUUUUGUAUUUUUAGUAGAGAUGGGGUUUCACCAUGUUAACCACAAUGGUCUCGAUCUCCUGACCUCAUUAUCCGCCCGCCUCAGCCUCCCAAAGUGCUGGGAUUACAGGUGUGAGCCACUGCGCCCAGCCAACUGUUGUUAAUUUCUUACUGUGUCUAAUUUAUAAAUUAAACUUUAUCACAGGUAUGUAUGCAUAGGAAAAAAACCCCAUAGUUUAUAUAGAGUUAAGCACAGUCUGCAGUUUCAGGCAUCCACCGAGGGUCUUGGAAUAUAUCUCCUAUGGAAAAGGGAGGAAUAGUGUAUGUAUAUUUUAUGCAUUAAGCAUCUGGAGAACACAAAGAGAAAUAAGAUGCAUCCUUGCAUCUGCUUUAGAGAUAAGUCAAAUACUAUCAAUAGUAGACAAUGAUACAGAAAGGGUCCAAAAAGGACUUCCAGGAAGAUGUGGGCCUUCCGGGUCUCAUUUAAGGGACAGCAUGGCUCCAGCAAAGAGUCCACUGUAUUGGGAACAAUGUUACUGCCACACCCUAAGGCAUCCUGAACUUGAGCUGAAGCGAGUUUCAUUUCUCCAUGGCCAAAUUUCCCAUUG